rnacentral:rRNA from 1 species
AAAACGACUCUCGGCAACGGAUAUCUAGGCUCUCGCAUCGAUGAAGAACGUAGCGAAAUGCGAUACUUGGUGUGAAUUGCAGAAUCCCGCGAAUCAUCGAGUUUUUGAACACAAGUUGCGCCCGAAGCCUUUCGGCCGAGGGCACGUCUGCCUGGGUGUCACGC